AUGACAUACGAUGAGCGGUACACACCGUACAUCCAGCAGGCAGGACUCCUCCCGUGGAUUCAGUUGGUCAGCCGGUCCACACCGAACCUCAACGCUCCACUGGUGUCCGCUCUUGCUGAUCGGUGGAGGCCAGAGAUGCACAGUUUCCAUCUUCGGACUGGGGAGAUGACCGUGACGCUCGAGGAUGUCUCCUUAAUCACCGGUCUUGCUAUCAACGGGAGGCCCCUCUGUAUGAGCACCGAUUUUGAUGGGUGGUGCCAACAGAUGACUGCUCUUAUCGAUAUGGCUCCUACCGAGGCUGAGGCUGAUGUAGAGGAGGGAGGGGAGAAGAAGAAGAAGGAAAGGAAAGCAGCCGGAGCUGCUUUCACGUGGAUUCAAAGGAACUUUGUGAAGGAAAUAUGCCCUAGAGGCAAUAAUAAAGUUGUUACUUAUAUUUCCUUAUAUCAUGAUAAAUGUUUAUUAUUCAUGCUAGAAUUGUAUUAA
rnacentral:rRNA from 1 species